rnacentral:rRNA from 1 species
UUUACCGUGAAAAAAUUAGAGUGUUCAAAGCGGGCAGAUAUUUUUCCUGCCACCGAAUACAUUAGCAUGGGGAUAAUGGGAAUAGGACCCUGACCUCCUAUUUUCAGUUGGUUUUGUUUACAGCGAGGUUAUAUCAGGGUAAUGAUUAAUAGGGAUAGUUGGGGGCAUUAAUAUUUAAUUGUCAGAGGUGAAAUUCUUGGAUUUAUGAAAGAUUAACUUCUGCGAAAGCGUUUGCCAAGGAUGUUUUCAUUAAUCAAGAACGAAAGUUAGGGGAUCGAAGACGAUCAGAUACCGUCGUAGUCUUAACCAUAAACGAUGCCGACCAGCGAUUAGGAGACGUUGAAUACAAAACACCGCUGUUAAUCCUUUCGGGGGUUAAUAGUUGGUGAAUGACUCCCCUAGAG